rnacentral:rRNA from 1 species
ACUGUAUAGAGUUUGAUCCUGGCUCAGAUUGAACGCUUGCGGUAUGCAUAA